rnacentral:tRNA from 1 species
CGAGCAGCUGCGGGCCCGGGGCGUCGAGCUGCGGCUCGAGACCGCGGUCAAGGAGGUCCGUCCCGACUCGGUCCUGCUCGCC